rnacentral:rRNA from 1 species
GACGAACGCUGGCGGCGUGCUUAACACAUGCAAGUCGAGCGGAAAGGCCCUGCUUGCAGGGUACUCGAGUGGCGAACGGGUGAGUAACACGUGGGUGAUCUGCCCUGCACUUCGGGAUAAGCUUGGGAAACUGGGUCUAAUACCGGAUAGGAGCCAUCUUUAGUGUGGUGGUUGGAAAGUUUUUUCGGUGUAGGAUGAGCUCGCGGCCUAUCAGCUUGUUGGUGGGGUAAUGGCCUACCAAGGCGGCGACGGGUAGCCGGCCUGAGAGGGUGUACGGCCACAUUGGGACUGAGAUACGGCCCAGACUCCUACGGGAGGCAGCAGUGGGGAAUAUUGCACAAUGGGCGCAAGCCUGAUGCAGCGACGCCGCGUGGGGGAUGAAGGCCUUCGGGUUGUAAACUCCUUUCGCUAGGGACGAAGCUUUGUUGUGACGGUACCUAGAUAAGAAGCACCGGCUAACUACGU